UUUAAAGCUUUUUAAUAUAUUAUUGUUUGCGAAGAUUAAAUUAUGCUAAAAAUAUAUAACACAGACGAAUACACUCGUGUUUAUUUAAAAAAAGAAUUAUAUAUCGUUCUUCCGAACUAACGGACGAGAGGACGUCAACCGGCCCGGAUAUUAUUGGCAAGCAUUUCGAGAUGAGUAACGCUUCGUCGCCCGCCGAACAUGCCGAGAGUUACGAAAAGUGCCGGGCCAACUUGCCGUUUCUACAGUUUGAACAUAUUUCCUUCGAAAGUAAAUUAUUUGAAAUCGUCGAAGAAUUGAGAUUGAGAAGGGUAAGGAAAAGG